UGGGGAAUAUUGGACAAUGGGGCAACCCUGAUCCAGCCAUGCCGCGUGUGUGAAGAAGGCCUUUUGGUUGUAAAGCACUUUAAGCAGGGAGGAGAGGCUAAUGGUUAAUACCCAUUAGAUUAGACGUUACCUGCAGAAUAAGCACCGGCUAACUCUGUGCCAGCAGCCGCGGUAAUACAGAGGGUGCGAGCGUUAAUCGGAAUUACUGGGCGUAAAGCGAGUGUAGGUGGCUCAUUAAAGUCACAUGUGAAAUUCCCGGGCUUAACCUGGGAACUGCAUGUGAUACUGGUGGUGCUAGAAUAUGUGAGAGGGAAGUAGAAUUCCCAGGUGUAGCGGUGAAAUGCGUAGAGAUCUGGAGGAAUACCGAUGGCGAAGGCAGCUUCCUGGCAUAAUAUUGACACUGAGAUUCGAAAGCGUGGGUAGCAAAACAGGAUUAGAUACCCUGGUAGUCCACGCCGUAAAACGAUGUCUACUAGCCGUUGGGGUCCUUGAGACUUUAGUGGCGCAGUUAACGCGAUAGUNGACCGCCUGGGGGAGUACGGCC
rnacentral:rRNA from 1 species